GAGGCAGAGGCAGGCAGGUCUCUGAGUGUUCAAAGCCAGCCUAGUCUACAAAGUGAAUUCCAGGACAGACUCCAAAUUAUCAUGGAGAAACCGUCUCGAAAAACCAAAAAUUAAAAAAUAAAAAUAAAAAGGGGUUAUGGAUGUAGCUGAGGGGUAGAGAGCAAGCACUCAUUUAGCUUAUUCAAGGCCCUGAGUUCAAACCCCAGUACUACAAACACAAAUUCCAACUACUCUCUGCUAAGACAGUCUCGAGUACCAAAGGGUUGCCUUAUACUUGCUAAAGUUAAGGAUGACCUUGAACUCCCUAUCCUCCUGCCUCUACCUCCAAAGUACUGGUACGCACCAAACUGGAGCUUGUGCAGCUUAUUUUAAUAAACAAAAUAUGUCACUUGUCAAACUUUAAAGAAUGUAAUAAAUUACAUAGUUGGAUCUAGCGUACUAGAAGAAGAAAAAAGAAAGAUGGUUCUACUAAAGGCUGGCAUUCCAUCAACACUACUACAUUUAGUUACUCAAUGCAAUUUUAUUGUGGGGGAGGGUGAGGAAGAACAUUCUGGAGUUCAAAGAAGGGAUGAAAUGCUGAAUGACUGAGAACAUACCUCAAAGGUAGAACACUUACAUGGCAUGCACAAGCACCACAAAAAAACAAAGUCGCAUAGGAUUUCAAUGUGACUAGUAAGGCCUAACUAGCUGGGAGAAUCCUAGGUUCAUUUAAGGGAGGGGGAUGGGAUGGCAUAAACGUUGGGGAGUGUUGAAAUAAUUGCAUACAAUGUGGGUUGCCGGGACCUACCAACUGAGAUCACACACAGUGAAUAGCACUUUUUUUCUUAGUAUCAAGAUGUUUAAAGCAAGCCGUGCAUGUCGGAGCACACCCCUAACCCUAGCACUCGGGAGACAGAGGCAGGUGGAUCUCUGAGUAGAGACCAGCCAGAGCUACAAAGAGAAACUGUCCGGGCGUGGGGGGAGGAGGGGGAGAGAUACGAUUAAAGCGCCUCCGGCUAAUUGGUAACAAAAUAUGGGGGGGCCCCUCGGGACAUAAAGGUUACUCCAGCAAUUUAACAGAGGAAGCUUUUUAAUGCGAAAGACUUAAAGUCAGGGAAUAUCCUGUUUAAUUUCUUUUCCUGCCUAUGGAGGCCAUGGAAUUUUAGCUUUCUUAGUUGAUCUAAACUCCAAAAAAGUAUUGUCUCUAUGCUGAUGUUUACUUAAUGCUAUACAGGAAGUCAGCUACUAAAGAGUAGUUACAUCAGACACAGACAUUUAUAAACCAUCUGCUGCAAGUGACCCAGGAUUCAAUUACAACAUCAACCCUCAAAUUUCAUCGAACAUUCAAAUUACCAGUCUAGUCGAGAAUAAGUUCAUUCUGCCCUACUGGCGCUUUAGAUCGGGUUGCACAAUCCCAGAGGGGUUGAACUGUCUUAGCCUAGCUCUAGAGCAUCAGGUCCUAAGUGGAGUGCGAAGUUACGUCAGGACAUUUUAAACCGGAGGCAAACUCCAGUGUCGCCUGCACAAACGUAAUCAGCCUAUUCCCCCGAAAUUUUGGAGUUUAACACGUCUCUUGAGAUCAGAGUGAAAUGAAGUUUCAGUCCCUUUGAGAUCUGAGCGCACAACGUCUGACUGCGAUCAUUUCAAGGCUCUUAAAGAGUGCGAACCUAGCUAGGGAAAAACUAUUUGGUGCGGAAACUCGUGUCUUUUCCGCCCACCAUUGGGGGCCGCACCGGCCGGGUCCCGAGCGAUGCCCUGGCGUGGAGUUUGGGGGCGCAACGGGGCCCGGCGGGGGCGGCGAGCGCGCGUUCCCCCGCCCGCUCGGGCGGCGUCGAGGCGCGAGCAGCUCAGCCAGCCUUGCAGAGGGAGCUCUCGGCAGUUCAGGGGUCCCUCUGCUCGCAGCCACAGCAGAGCCGCCUGCGCCACUCGGCGGUGACGGAGACCAGCGGCGGCGAUGAUCGGACUCGGAGAAACUACAGAGCACCCCAGCUGCUGGAGAAGCACUCGGGGCGGCCGGCUUUGAAUACAUGAGAAAGAAGAGUGAGAAACAAGAAGAAAAGAUAAGGUUGGAAGAGAGCAAGAGGAAAGAGGGGGAUGGAAGGAAACUCCUGCAGCCACCAACACAAUAAAUUGUAUCCUGAACCACCUCA